rnacentral:rRNA from 1 species
GAUGAACGCUGGCGGCGUGCUUAACACAUGCAAGUCGAACGAAGCACUUUAUUUGAUUUCCUUCGGGGCUGAUUAUUUUGUGACUGAGUGGCGGACGGGUGAGUAACGCGUGGGUAACCUGCCUUGUACAGGGGGAUAACAGUUGGAAACGGCUGCUAAUACCGCAUAAGCGCACAGCAUCGCAUGAUGCAGUGUGAAAAACUCCGGUGGUAUAAGAUGGACCCGCGUUGGAUUAGCUAGUUGGUGAGGUAACGGCCCACCAAGGCGACGAUCCAUAGCCGACCUGAGAGGGUGACCGGCCACAUUGGGACUGAGACACGGCCCAAACUCCUACGGGAGGCAGCAGUGGGGAAUAUUGCACAAUGGGCGAAAGCCUGAUGCAGCGACGCCGCGUGAGCGAAGAAGUAUUUCGGUAUGUAAAGCUCUAUCAGCAGGGAAGAUAAUGACGGUACCUGACUAAGAAGCACCGGCUAAAUACGU